UACGGAGGGUGCAAGCGUUGUUCGGAAUUAUUGGGCGUAAAGGGCGCGUAGGCGGCUUUGCAAGUGACGGGUGAAAGCCCUCGGCUUAACCGAGGAACUGCCUGUCAGACUGUGAGGCUUGAGACCGGGAGAGGUGAGUGGAAUUCCCAGUGUAGCGGUGAAAUGCGUAGAUAUUGGGAGGAACACCAGUGGCGAAGGCGGCUCACUGGACCGGAACUGACGCUGAGGCGCGAAAGCGUGGGGAGCGAACAGG
rnacentral:rRNA from 1 species